CGGUAAUUCCAGCUCCACUAGCGUAUAUUAAAAUUGUUGCAGUUAAAAAGCUCGUAGUUGGAUUUCCAAUCUAGAUACGCCUUGCCCCGGUGAUAGUUAAACCUAUACGCUGAGGUGCAUUUGUUGCGAAUCGGUUGCUCUUUCGGCUUCAUAGUGAUUACAAGCUAUGACAGACACGAAUCGAUUACUUUGAAAAAAUGAGGGUGCUUAAAGCAGGCAAUCUUUCAGCUCUGUAUCUAUUAGCAUGGAAUAAUUUCAUAGGACUACUGGUUCUAUUUUGUUGGUUUAUUGAAUUAGGGUAAUGGUUAAUAGGGAUAGUUGGGGGUGCUAGUAUUCAGUGACUAGAGGUGAAAUUCUUUAAUUCAUUGAAGACUACCUACUGCGAAAGCAUUCACCAAGGAUAUCUUCAUUAAUCAAGAACGAAAGUUGGGGGAUCGAAAACGAUUAGAUACCGUUGUAGUCCCAACCAUAAACUAUGCCAGCUGGGAAUUGGUGGACGUUGCCUCCAAGCCGACAUUACCAGCGCCUAACGUGAAAGCGUAAGCUUUCGGGUUCCGGGGGGAGUAUGGCCGCAAGACUGAAACUUAAAGGAAUUGACGGAAGGGCACCACCAGGAGUGGAGCCUGCGGCUUAAUUUGACUCAACACGGGAAAACUUACCAGGUCCAGACGUAGUGAGGAUUGACAGAUUGACGCUCUUUCUUGAUUCUACGGGUUGUGGUGCAUGGCCGUUCUUAGUUGGUGGAUUGAUUUGUCUGGUUAAUUCCGAUAACGAACGAGACCUUGAUCUAUAUUUAAGAGGGAUUUUUUCAGAAACGCAAGUAGCAAAUAUUUAUGGAGACUGCCGGUUCUUUAGUAUCCGGAGGAAGUUGCAAGGCAAUAACAGGUCUGUGAUGCCCUUAGAUGUUCUGGGCCGCACGCGCGCUACAAUGAUCAGUUCAGACAGUUCAUAACCCACGCUGAGAAGUUGUGGGCAAUCAGAAAUACUGGUCGCGAUGGGAAUAGAUGAUUGCAAUUUUUUAUCUUGAACGAGGAAUUCCUAGUAAACGCAAGUCAUCAGCUUGCAUUGAAUACGUCCCUGCCCCUUGUACACACCGCCC
rnacentral:rRNA from 1 species